CGGGGGGGCAAGCGUUGUUCGGAAUUACUGGGCGUAAAGGGCUCGUAGGCGGCCAACUAAGUCACACGUGAAAUCCCUCGGCUCAACCGGGGAACUGCGUGUGAGACUGGAUGGCUUGAGUUUGGGAGAGGAAUGCGGAAUUCCAGGUGUAGCGGUGAAAUGCGUAGAUAUCUGGAGGAACACCGGUGGCGAAGGCGGCAUUCUGGACCAACACUGACGCUGAGGAGCGAAAGCCAGGGGAGCAAACGGGAUUAGAUACCCCGGUAGUCCUGGCCCUAAACGAUGAACACUUGGUGUGGCGGGUAUCGAUCCCUGCCGUGCCGAAGCUAACGCAUUAAGUGUUCCGCCUGGGGAGUACGGUCGCAAGGCUG
rnacentral:rRNA from 1 species